GACCAGGGCGAGAGCAGCGUGUAGCCAUGACGACUCCGCAGCUCUUGUGACGAGCCGGGAGCGCUCCAGCGGCCGGGACGGAUCCAGGAGAGGCUUCUCCCGCCGCAUCUGCCAGCCCGGCACACGGCCAGCGUGUGGUGGCUGUCGGCGCAAGGGCGGCAGCCCAGACACACAUUUUCCCCGCAGCCUUCGCUCGAACGCGACCACGGGAAGGGUUUGGGAUGGAUUUUCCCCCCCACACACACACAGCGCAAGAGGAAGGGGAAAAGAAGGGAAGAGAGCUGGCUUUGUCAGUCAGCUGGACUGGUAGCAUGGGAACUUCAGCACAGAGGAAGCUUUGAAUUCCAGCCAAGAUGCAGCAACUGUGUAAAACAUAAUUCCAUCAAGGAAAAACUGUCCCUAAGAAUCAAAGCCCAAACCCCAAACUAGCAACAGAUGCAGAAAAACGCAAGACAUGCUGUGAUGUUUCACCUCGAGAAUAAAAAUCAGAUAUUCCCUUGAUUACUUCUGAGAGCAGCUUCAGUUCAGCCUUAAAAGGACCGGAGGUGCACCCAAACUGCAGCAGCCACCAAUAGGUCUAUUCAAAUUCAAACUACUAAUUGUUUAGGAAUUAGCAUGUGAAACCCCACUAAUUAUCUUGUGUGGCUGCGUUUUUCUGCCAGGAAUCCUCUUAGUGUGGUUUUAGCAGAUAAAAGUAGAAGGAGUGUGGAUGGAGCACCUCUAACACCAGGAAAGGCUGGGGGAGCUGAAACUGUUUAGAUUAAAAAAGAGAAAGC